rnacentral:rRNA from 1 species
UACGAGGGGGGCAAGCGUUGUUCGGAAUUAUUGGGCGUAAAGGGCGCGUAGGCGGUCGGGUAAGUCUGAUGUGAAAUCUCACAGCUUAACUGUGAAACUGCAUUGGAUACUAUCCGGCUCGAGGAAUGGAGGGGAGACUGGAAUACUUGGUGUAGCAGUGAAAUGCGUAGAUAUCAAGUGGAACACCAGUGGCGAAGGCGAGUCUCUGGACAUUUCCUGACGCUGAGGCACGAAAGCCAGGGGAGCAAACGGG